AGAGCGAACGCUGGCGGCAUGCUUAACACAUGCAAGUCGCACGGGCAGGGGAAACCCUGUCAGUGGCGGACGGGUGAGUAACGCGUAGGUAUCUAUCCUUGGGUGGGGGAUAACGGUUGGAAACGACUGCUAAUACCGCAUGAUAACUGAGGUUUAAAGGCGCAAGUCGCCUGGGGAGGAGCCUGCGUACGAUUAGCUUGUUGGUGGGGUAAAGGCCUACCAAGGCGACGAUCGUUAGCUGGUCUGAGAGGAUGAUCAGCCACAUUUGGACUGAGACACGGCCCAAACUCCUACGGGAGGCAGCAGUGGGAAUAUUGGACAAUGGGCGAAAGCCUGAUCCAGCAAUGCCGCGUGUGUGAAGAAGGUCUUCGGAUUGUAAAGCACUUUCGACAGGGACGAUGAUGACGGUACCUGUAGAAGAAGCCCCGGCUAACUUCGCGCCAGCAGCCGC
rnacentral:rRNA from 1 species